UUUGAUCCUGGCUCCAGAUUGAACGCUGGCGGGAUACUUUACACAUGCAAGUCGAACGGCAGCACCGGACUUCGGUCUGGUGGCGAGUGGCGAACGGGUGAGUAAUGUAUCGGAACGUGCCUAGUAGCGGGGGAUAACUACGCGAAAGCGUAGCUAAUACCGCAUACGCCCUUCGGGGGGAAAGCGGGGACCUUCGGGCCUCACUUACUAAUAGAGCGGCCGAUAUCGGAUUAGCUAGUUGGUGGGGUAACGGCUCACCAAGGCGACGAUCCGUAGCUGGUUUGAGAGGACGACCAGCCACACUGGGACUGAGACACGGCCCAAGGCCUACGGGAGGCAGCGGUGGAGAAUUUUGGACAAUGGGGGAAACCCUGAUCCAGCCAUCCCGCGUGUGCGAUGAAGGCCUUCGGGUUGUAAAGCACUUUUUGUGAGGAAAGAAACAGCACGGGAUAAUACCCCGUGCAACUGACGGUACCUGCAGAAUAAGCACCGGCUAACUACGUGCCAGCAGCCGCGGUAAUACGUAGGUGCAAGCGUUAAUCAGAAUUACAGGGCGUAAAGCGUGCGCAGGCGGUUCGGAAAGAAAGAUGUGAAAUCCCGGAAGCAACUUUGGAACUGCAUUUUUUGCUACCGACUAGAGUGUGUCAGAGGAGGUGGAAUUCCGCGUGUAGCAGUGAAAUGCGUAGAUAUGCGGAGGAACACCGAUGGCGAAGGCAGCCUCCUGGGACUGCUGACGCUCAUGCACGAAAGCGUGGGGAGCAAACAGGAUUAGAAUACCUGGUAGUCCACGCCCUAAACGAUGUCAACUAGCUGUUGGGGCCUUCGGGCCUUGGUAGCGCAACUAACGCGUGAAGUUGACCGCCUGAAAUUACGGUCGCAAGAUUAAAACUCAAAGGAAUUGACGGGGACCCGCACAAGCGGUGGAUGAUGUGGUUAAUUCGAUGCAGCACGAAAACCUUUUACCUACCCUUGACAUGUCUGGAAUCCCCGAAGGUCCCAGGUGCUCGCAAGAGAACCGGAACACAGGUGCUGGCUGUCGUCAGCUCGUAUACGUGAGAUGUUGGGUUAAAUUAUAACGAGCGCAACCCUUGCUCAUUAGGUUACUGAAAGGAGCACUCUAAUGAGACUGCCGGUGACAAACCGGAGGAAGGUGGGGAUGACGUCAGAGUCAUGGCCCUUAUGGGUAGGGCUUCACGUCAUACAAUGGUCGGGACGGGGGGUCGUAACCCGCGAGGGGAGCCAAUCCCAGAAGCCACGUCGUAGUCCGGAUCUUGAUCUGCAGCUCGACUGCGUGAAGUCGAAUCGCUAGUAAUCGCGGAUCAGCAUGUCGCGGUGAAUACGUUCCCGGGUCUUGUACACACCGCCCGUCACCAUGGGAGUGGGUUUUACCAGAAGUAGUUAGCCUAACCGUAAGGGCGUUACCACGAAGUAGGAUUCAUGACUGGGGUGAAGUCGUAACAAGGUAG
rnacentral:rRNA from 1 species